AUUGAACGCUGGCGGCAUGCCUUACACAUGCAGUCGAACGGUAACAGGUCUUCGGAUGCUGACGAGUGGCGAACGGGUGAGUAAUGCAUCGGAACGUGCCCAGUAGUGGGGGAUAGCCCGGCGAAAGCCGGAUUAAUACCGCAUACGACCUGAGGGUGAAAGGGGGGGAUCGCAAGACCUCUCGCUAUUGGAGCGGCCGAUGUCAGAUUAGCUAGUUGGUGGGGUAAAGGCCUACCAAGGCAACGAUCUGUAGUUGGUCUGAGAGGACGACCAACCACACUGGGACUGAGACACGGCCCAGACUCCUACGGGAGGCAGCAGUGGGGAAUUUUGGACAAUGGGCGCAAGCCUGAUCCAGCAAUGCCGCGUGCAGGAAGAAGGCCUUCGGGUUGUAAACUGCUUUUGUCAGGGAAGAAAUCUUCUGGGUUAAUACCUCGGGAGGAUGACGGUACCUGAAGAAUAAGCACCGGCUAACUACGUGCCAGCAGCCGCAGUAAAAC
rnacentral:rRNA from 1 species